ensembl:lncRNA
AGAACCUCUCUUCAGGGGCUCCGAUGACAGAGUGGUAGCAGAACUUCCCGGGUGUUUGAGUGUGGAGAUAAGAUAAGACAAUAAAUGAGGAGCAGUCGCCCUUAAAGGUCACCGUGGGUCUGCGGAGUGUCGACUGACGACAGGUGAGAGACCCUCAACGAUCCGCCGGAGCCCCAGCAGAGCCCCCCUGUCCCGAGCUCAGUGGUGCCCACCCGGCAGAGCCCGGGGCUGGGAUGGAGUGGGCCGCGACCCUCCUGGGUCUGGGGGUCCUGAUCUCCAGGGCCGUGGCCGACUUCAACAUCCCUCUGGAAG